rnacentral:sRNA from 1 species
CCUAGGAAUCACAAACGCCACAACUCUUCCGACAAUUGCCGGGCAAACCCUCGGCACCUACCAUGUAUACCGGGUUCUUCUCGCAUUCUCCAGCUUCAGCCCAUUUCGCGCAACGUGCACUGUUGUCGGAGCAUCCUUCUGUCACCUUUGAGACAGGAGGAUGCUCAUAGGACCUGAUACGGAUCCACUUUGGUGCAGACCAUUUUUCACCUUCUAUCACUGGGCAGCUCCCAUGGAGGCUGAGCGGGUCCGGUACGCCAUCGAUAUGAAGGCUAAAGAAGAGCACCGUGUCGCCUUUAACUGGUUUCACUGCAAUUAAACUAGCCUGGUUAUAUUCCAAGUGUGUUAUGUUUCAGUUUUUGAAGAGAAACUAGAGCCUAGAGAGGUGUCACAUUUAAAACACUUCAAAAGGUAACCAUUACCUGCCAAUCCUUUUUGUGCACAUUCAGAGAAAGUGUCAUCCUUGGGCUGAUUUUCCCACCCCUAAAUUGAUUAGCACCAGCAAUGUUACAAAAACUCAUACAUCAUUUGGAUUUGGAAAAGUGAAGGACGUGAUAUUUGAAAUUUACCUCAGCAUUGGGGAACACAGUCUCGCCUCCCUUCUCGACAGUGGACAAAUACAUGAGCACCGUCGCGUAACGGUGGCCUCCCAGUGCUUGAUUGACCUUGUCAUGGAAAUAAUCAAAGUGCGGCUCAUACUUCUGCCCAUGCUCGUAUCGGAGUAUCUGAAUCCCAGAAGAGUUACCUUCAGGAAGAAAGGUCCAUGCUGCAAUUCUUUUUUCAAUCCUGCUCACCACUGGAUCCUUCACAAAACAAGAAACGCAUUUCCAUUACAUUACACCCCAGAAUGACAGAAUCCAUUAGAAAGUACGAGAGCAAGCUGGCGUCCAGAUAUAUAGCCAAAAAUGUAGUACCUGGCGCUUGUCGAGGAACAUGCCGGAGCUGGUCCGCACCUCGCUCAUGACGCUCUUGCCGGACUUGUUGUCCGCCACCAUCGACCUCUGCAUCUUCCUCUUCCCCUGCUCCAACCACACACACCAAUCAAUCGAGACGCAGAUAGGAUUCAGCCAUGGUGGUGGCAUCUAUGAUUGCAGCAGGUGCUGACCAGCUUGACGAGGUGGUCGCACUCGUCGUCGGAGAGGAACCCCUUGUAGACGAAGACCCUG